rnacentral:tRNA from 1 species
AAAGCUUUAAGUUAUUAAACUAUUAGCCUUCAAAGUUAAAAAUACAAAUACUAUUGUAAGCUUUA